rnacentral:rRNA from 1 species
UACGAAGGGGGCUAGCGUUGUUCGGAUUUACUGGGCGUAAAGCGCACGUAGGCGGAUAUUUAAGUCAGGGGUGAAAUCCCGGGGCUCAACCCCGGAACUGCCUCUGAUACUGGAUAUCUCGAGUCCGGAAGAGGUGAGUGGAAUUCCGAGUGUAGAGGUGAAAUUCGUAGAUAUUCGGAGGAACACCAGUGGCGAAAGCGGCUCACUGGUCCGGUACUGACGCUGAGGUGCGAAAGCGUGGGGAGCAAACAGG